rnacentral:rRNA from 1 species
UACAACAUAGCGUUAAUGAAUUGGAUCCCAUUAAAACUCUACAGUUAAGUGCACUCAUGCUAGAUUAGCACUAGGAUGGGUGAUUGCCCGGGAAGUCCUAGUGUUUUAC